AGGCUCCAGACCUGUGUGUGCAGCUGCCUCCUGGAUGCCCCUCGGUUGUCUAAUGGACAUCUCAAACCUCACAUGUCUCCACUUGAAAAGGAUGAGUUUCAUGGAACCUGAGCAUGCCCAUAUGCCCCUACUCCCUUGUGUGCCCCCACACCGUGCCUGCUCUUCCUUCAGUUGAUCAGGUCUCCCCAUAGACAACUUCCCAGGUUGAGAGGAUGCCUUGUUCCCUGUGGCCACAGACUCCAUUUAGUAGGAAGAGGAGGGAUCAAAUUCAGCCACGUGGACUCCAGGGAAGUCCAUCCAUGGCCCUGCCAUGUAAGAAGGUGACCCCAGGACACAGGCUAAAAACUGCACCAUGAUGGACCACGUCAUAUCCUUGCCAGUAUUUUCCAUUCCUUUGGGUAGAUACGAAGGAGUGUGAUUGCUGGAUCAUAUGGUGAGAGUGUGUUUAGUUUUGUAAUAAACUGCC
rnacentral:lncRNA from 10 species